ensembl:snRNA U7 U7 small nuclear RNA
UAAUAUUACAGCUCUUUUUGAAUUUGUUUAUCAGGUUUUCUGGUUCUCAUAGGAAGACUUCC